UUAAAGGAGUUACAGACUUCCGAGUGUGUGUGUGUUGUGUACGCGUGUGUGUAUGUGUGCGUGCGUGUGUGUGCGUGCGUGUGAAUACGACGAGCCAUUUUCGUAUUUAAUCUCUUCCUACUCUUCUUCGCGCAUUUGUUCUCUUGGUAAUCGCUCGCACCGCUCGAUGUUUCCGUUUCCGCUGUACCGUGACAUUUGAACUUUCCGUUUAUUUAUCCAGUCUGUUGCGUGUCGACGACGCGGCAGGAGGAACAUGGCGUCGUUCGUCGAAACCGAAGCGAAACGAACGAACGUCGAAAGAGAGCCAGGAGAAAAAUGAAUCGAUCGCUUUUUCUCCCCUUCUUUUUUUUUCUCUUAUUUUUUCUUAUUCGUCUUUCUUUCCUACGAUUUUUCGCGGCCAGGAUAUCACUUUCUCUUUCGGGGAGGAGCAGAAAAGACCACGAAUAACGAAGGGCAAAGCGAUUCGUGCACGGUCGAAGGAUUCAAAAUCGAAGCCGGCCACCGGACUGUGACAAGACCCGAAUCGAAUUCUAUUCGCAGCCCCGGAAUUCGAUUCGCGACGAGGUUGUUGUCCGCCCGGAACGAACGAAAUCCAGAGUUUCGCUCGACGCGCCUCUUUCCCUUUCUCUCACGCGUUCCACGAACGAGAAACGGAUCCGAGAAACGUCGAUGCGCGCCGUUCCUUUGACGAUCUUUUCUAUUCUUUUCUUUUCGCGUUUACGAUUGCUUUCGAAAACGAUUUUAUUCGAUAAAUAACGCGGGACUUAUCGUGAAUUGUUCGUUUGUAGGAAAAACGGUUUGUAAAAAUCCUCGAUUUCAAUCUUAUUAUCGCGCGAGAGAAACUAUUGUCCUAUAUUAUACUUUAUUUCGUCCUACUUAUCUUAAACUUCCGUUUCGGCAGUGGGAAUGUGUGCUAUUCUUUUUUUUUUUCCUUUCCUUUUCUAUUAACCUCGACCGAUCUCGUCGCAACUUUACCGGGAGCGGAGGAAAAUCGAUGCAUUCUCUACGUUUUCGAAAGAUUUAUCGAACGAGCUCGGUAACGGGAUUCGAGUUAGCUUGGAAAACCGCCUCUACUCGAUCGGUGACGGAUGAAAAAGGAACGAAAAAAAACGUAAUCGUGUAUCGGCGCGAACGCAGAAAUAGCGAUCCUCGAGGCGAAUCCGUAACGGGGGAUCCCUCCGCUUAAUGGACCACGACCUAUCCACGUUUCGCGCAGUUUUCACGAAUCGAAAAAUCCCCGAAACUUUUUCCCCUCCGAUUAUUCUCUCUCUCUCGAGCCGUGGCGCGAGUCGUUGCCCACCGUUCCGGCCGCGCGUGUGCGACUCCAACUUCCUUCAACUUCGUUUCAACAUCCUCGAGAAACUUGCGCCGAGAAACGUUGACUGGCUCGAGUUUCGAGAUUAUACGCUACUUUUCUCUCCUCCUCCUCCUCCUCCUCUUUCUCUUCCUUUUCCUCUGCCACUCUCUGGAUCCCUUUCGACCGUUGUUCGCGCCCGCGUGAUCCAAGCGGAAAGUUGGAAGAAAGAACCGCCACGGGUGGAUAGGAACGCAAGAGUGUGUUGUGACGGAGGGGAGUGGGGAGUGGUAGGAUUCGAUCGGACGCGUGAUCGAUACUUUCGCGGGGAUGUCUGCGAGGAUGAUCACAUCGAAACACACACACACACAAAUAGAAAGUGAAAACUCGUCGUUGUUUUCAAUUCCGCGGACGGGGUGGAUCCAGCGCGAUGAUCGGCGAACCUCGACACGCCGUUUGAAGAAGAAAAGAAAAGAAGAGAAACUGUGGAGAGAGAAUGGGAAGCGAUUUCGAGAAGGAAGGAGGAGAGAUACGUAGUAAAAAGGAGGAGGUUUCGUUUUCGAGAAAGGUUUGGCGUUCGUACACGGUUCGCGGAUCAUCGAACAGGAGGAACGGCGAGUUUGUACGAGGCUUGGCUCGAAGCGGGAUCAUCGCCUUCCACGACCGGUGCCUCGUUCAGAAUCGGCCAUGAUCCGGCGCUCGAUUAUCGAUCCGCGUCGAAGGGAUCGUUGGGAUGAUGCUACUCCGCCCGCGAAACUCCAUUUCCACGCGGCAAACGCGAUUACUAGAUCCAGCGCACAUCAGGUGUUCAGGUGUGAGAGACAAAGAGAGAGAGAGAGAGAGAGAGAGAGAGAGACAG
rnacentral:lncRNA from 1 species